UACGAAGGGGGCUAGCGUUGUUCGGAAUUAUUGGGCGUAAAGCGUACGCAGGCGGCUUGGCAAGUCGAGUGUGAAAUCCCAGGGCUCAACCCUGGACAUGCAUUCGAUACUGCUAGGCUUGAGUGCGGGAGAGGGAAGCGGAAUUCCUGGUGUAGAGGUGAAAUUCGUAGAUAUCAGGAGGAACACCGGUGGCGAAGGCGGUUCUCUGGGCAUGUCCUGACGCUGAGGAGCGAAAGUGUGGGGAGGCGAACAGG
rnacentral:rRNA from 1 species